rnacentral:rRNA from 1 species
UGCCAGCAGCCGCGGUAAUACGGAGGGAGCGAGCGUUAAUCGGAAUUACUGGGCGUAAAGCGCGCGUAGGCGGCUUUGUAAGUCGGAUGUGAAAGCCCUGGGCUCAACCUGGGAAUGGCAUUCGAUACUGCAUAGCUAGAGUAUGGUAGAGGGAAGUGGAAUUUCCGGUGUAGCGGUGAAAUGCGUAGAUAUAGGAAGGAACACCAGUGGCGAAGGCGACUGCCUGGACCGAUACUGACGCUGAGGUGCCAAAGCGCGGGUAGCGAACGGGAUUAGAUA